rnacentral:misc_RNA from 1 species
GAUGAAGAACGCAGCGAAAUGCGAUAAUUAAUGUGAAUUGCAGAAUUUAGUGAAUCAUCGAAUCUUUGAACGCACAUUGCGCCCCUUGGUAUUCCGGGGGGCAUGCCUGUUCGAGCGUCAUUUCAACCCUCAAGCUCUGCUUGGUCUUGGGCCGCGCCGGCGACGGCGGGCCUCAAAAACAGUGGCGGCGCCAUCUGGUUCCUCAGCGUAGUAAUUCUUCUCGCUGUUGGGCCCGGGUGGCCGCUGGCCAGCAAACCCAAAUUUUCUAUGGUUGACCUCGGAUCAGGUAGGGAUACCCGCUGAACUUAAGCAUAUCAAUAAGCGGAGGA